GACGAACGCUGGCGGCGUGCUUAACACAUGCAAGUCGAACGGAAAGGCCCUGCUUUUGUGGGGUGCUCGAGUGGCGAACGGGUGAGUAACACGUGAGUAACCUGCCCUUGACUUUGGGAUAACUUCAGGAAACUGGGGCUAAUACCGGAUAGGAGCUCCUGCUGCAUGGUGGGGGUUGGAAAGUUUCGGCGGUUGGGGAUGGAAUCGCGGCUUAUCAGCUUGUUGGUGGGGUAGUGGCUUACCAAGGCUUUGACGGGUAGCCUGCCUGAGAGGGUGACCGGCCACAUUGGGACUGAGAUACGGCCCAGACUCCUACGGGAGGCAGCAGUGGGGAAUAUUGCACAAUGGGCGGAAGCCUGAUGCAGCAACGCCGCGUGCGGGAUGACGACCUUCGGGUUGUAAACCGCUUUCGCCUGUGACGAAGCGUGAGUGACGGUAAUGGGUAAAGAAGCACCGGCUAACUACGUG
rnacentral:rRNA from 1 species